rnacentral:rRNA from 1 species
GACGAACGCUGGCGGCGUGCUUAACACAUGCAAGUCGAACGGGCCCGCCCCUGUUUUUGGGGGUGGGUUGAGUGGCGAACGGGUGAGUAUCACGUGAGUAACCUGCCCCCUGCUCCUGGAUAACUGCUUGAAAGGGCGGCUAAUACGGGGUGUGCCGGCUGGUCCGCAUGGGCCUGGUCGGGAUAGUUUCAUCUUCGGGUGUUUCGGUGGGGGAUGGGCUCGCGGCCUAUCAGCUUGUUGGUGGGGUGAUGGCCCACCAAGGCGGUGACGGGUAGCCGGCCUGAGAGGGUGGGCGGCCACACUGGGACGGAGACACGGCCCAGACUCCGGCGGGAGGCAGCAGUGGGGGGUAUUGCACAAUGGGCGGAAGCCUGAUGCAGCGACGUCGCGUGAGGGAUGGAGGCCUUCGGGUGGUGAACCUCUUUCUCCGGUGGUGAAGGCCCUGUCCGUUGCGGCGGGGUUGACGGUAGCCGGGUAUGAAGCGCCGGCUAACUACGUG